AAGCUCAAAUUUGAAAUCUGCGUAAGCCGAGUUGUAAUUUGAAGAUGGCUACUUUGGUAAUGGCUCUUGUCUAUGUUCCUUGGAACAGGACGUCACAGAGGGUGAGAAUCCCGUGCGAUGAGAUGUCCAUUACCGUGUAAAGUGCUUUCGAAGAGUCGAGUUGUUUGGGAAUGCAGCUCUAAGUGGGUGGUAAAUUCCAUCUAAAGCUAAAUAUUGGCGAGAGACCGAUAGCGAACAAGUACAGUGAUGGAAAGAUGAAAAGAACUUUGAAAAGAGAGUGAAAAAGUACGUGAAAUUGUUGAAAGGGAAGGGCUUGAGAUCAGACUUGGUAUUUUGUAUGGCUUGCUUUCGGGCGGGUCCUCUGCAGUUUACUGGGCCAGCAUCGGUUUGGGUGGCAGGAUAAUAGCAUUGGAAUGUGGCUCUACUUCGGUGGAGUGUUAUAGCCUUUGUUGAUACUGCCUGCCUAGACCGAGGACUGCGUCUUUUGACUAGGAUGCUGGCAUAAUGAUCCUAAGCCGCCCGUCUUGA
rnacentral:rRNA from 1 species